AGUCGAACGGACAGUGGCUUCGGUUACUGUUAGUGGCGAACGGUCGCGUAUUACGUAAGAAACCUGCCUUGAAGCGGGGGACAACAGUCCGAAAGGACUGCUAAUACCGCAUGUGGCCAACUGGGGGCAUCCCCGGUUGUCUAAAGAUUUAUCACUUCAAGAUGGUCUUGCGGCCUAUCAGCUAGUUGGUGGGGUAAUGGCCUGCCAAGGCGACGACGGGUAGCUGGUCUGAGAGGACGAUCAGCCGGAUUGGGACUGAGAUACGGCCCAGACUCCUACGGGGGGCAGCAAUUAGGAAUCUUGCACAAUGGGGGAAACCCUGAUGCAGCGACGCCGCGUGAAGGAUGAAGGUUCUCGGAUCGUAAGCUUCUUUUAAGUGGGAAGAAAUUUGACGGUACCACUUGAAUAAGCCCCGGCUAACUACGUGCCAGCAGCCGCGGUAAUACGUAGGGGGCGAGCGUUGUCCGAAGUUACUGGGCGUAAAGCGCGCGUAGGCGGUUUCUUAAGUCUGGGGUGAAAGGUUCAACGCUCAACGUGAACAGUGCCUUGG
rnacentral:rRNA from 1 species